rnacentral:rRNA from 1 species
GACGUAGGGCGCGAGCGUUGUCCGGAAUCAUUGGGCGUAAAGAGCGCGUAGGCGGCCCAGUAAGUCCGCUCUGAAAGUCAGGGGCUCAACCCCUGGAUGCGGGUGGAUACUGCUGGGCUAGAGUCCGGAAGAGGUGAGUGGAAUUCCUGGUGUAGCGGUGAAAUGCGCAGAUAUCAGGAGGAACACCGGUGGCGAAGGCGGGUCUCUGGGCCGAUACUGACGCUGAGGAGCGAAAGCGUGGGGAGCGAACAGG